GGCCUACGGGGCGCAGCAGUGGGGAAUCUUCCGCAAUGGGCGCAAGCCUGACGGAGCAAUGCCGCGUGAACGAAGAAGGUCUUCGGAUUGUAAAGUUCUGUCCUUAUCGAAGAGAGGGUAUAGAGUGAAAAAUGAUAUACUAGGACGGUAGAUGAGGAGGAAGCACCGGCUAACUCCGUGCCAGCAGCCGCGGUAAUACGGAGGGUGCGACCGUUAAUCGGAAUUACUGGGCGUAAAGCGCUGGU
rnacentral:rRNA from 1 species